rnacentral:rRNA from 1 species
GAUGAACGCUGGCGGCGUGCCUAAUACAUGCAAGUCGAGCGAACAGAUGAGAAGCUUGCUUCUCUGAUGUUAGCGGCGGACGGGUGAGUAACACGUGGGCAACCUACCUAUAAGACUGGGAUAACUCCGGGAAACCGGGGCUAAUACCGGAUAAUAUUUUGAACCGCAUGGUUCAAUAGUGAAAGACGGUUUCGGCUGUCACUUAUAGAUGGACCCGCGCCGUAUUAGCUAGUUGGUAAGGUAACGGCUUACCAAGGCGACGAUACGUAGCCGACCUGAGAGGGUGAUCGGCCACACUGGAACUGAGACACGGUCCAGACUCCUACGGGAGGCAGCAGUAGGGAAGCUUCCGCAAUGGGCGAAAGCCUGACGGAGCAACGCCGCGUGAGUGAUGAAGGUCUUCGGAUCGUAAAACUCUGUUGUUAGGGAAGAACAAAUUUGUUAGUAACUGAACAAGUCUUGACGGUACCUAACCAGAAAGCCACGGCUAACUACGUGCCAGCAGCCGCAGUAA